AACGUAGGUGGCGAGCGUUAUCCGGAUUUACUGGGCGUAAAGGGUGUGCAGGCGGGCCAUUAAGUGGUGUAUGAAAUAUCCCGGCUCAACCGGGAGAGGUUAUGCCAGACUGGUGGUCUAGAGAGCGAGAGAGGGACGUGGAAUUCCGGGUGUAGUGGUGAAAUGCGUAGAUAUCUGGAGGAACACCGGUGGCGAAGGCGGCAUCCUGGACCGGCAUUGACGCUGAGGCGCGAAAGCUAGGGGAGCAAACGGG
rnacentral:rRNA from 1 species